UUGAAUUCAUAUGAUUUGCCGUCGACAUUAUUUAGAAAACUACUUAAUGUAAGCUGACUUCGUAGUUAUUCAGAGGGGGAUGUAACCGGAAUGACGAAACAGCCCAUGUGGUCUGAUACGCGCGCUGGCGCAGCAAUGCAUUUGUGCGGCCUUUUUGCUGUUAUCGCCUUGGCGUGGAGCACAGAUCUCACAAUUGUCGCUCUAGAAAGUCUCCGGAGUUUCACAAGCAGCUUACUGUUCGAGCUAUAUUUUCUCGACAGGACUCGUUCAGCCAGCCUGCCAUUGCAGGGCGCUGAGUGACUGCUGUUGCGGAGCGAGUAUUUACAGGCGCUUGAGUUCUUCCCCCGUGGGCUGCACCGCUCUUUGCAUAAUACUCUACCAGUGACUUGUAGUCUGGGGUCUUUUAUUGCAUCUUUAAUUGGACCUUUUAUCGAGUUGGAGAAAUAAAUCAGCAUUGAUUCCAAGUCUACUCUACUCUUGUGAGUUCUUUAUCCUCAAAACUGAGGGUCUUGCCUGGACCCUGAUUCCAGAGU